rnacentral:lncRNA from 1 species
UAAUUGUAUUUAAUUAACUGAAAUGACAACUUUGAGACAAAAAUGGUGGAUUGCCUUUUAUUAAUUCAGUUUCAAUGAUGUAGUAGGAGUAUAUAAUAAAUAAAUAGAACUUGAGUGCACUUACCAUCAUUAACUCAGUUUCAAUGAUGUAGUAGGAGUAUAUAAUAAAUACAUAGAACUUGAGUGCACUUACCAUUAUGUCGAAAGAUAAACUAUAGUGGUUUAGUCAAAAAGAAAAAA